rnacentral:rRNA from 1 species
UACAGAGGGUGCGAGCGUUAAUCGGAAUUACUGGGCGUAAAGCGCGUGUAGGCGGGUCUUUAAGUCAGGGGUGAAAUGCCAAGGCUCAACCUUGGAACUGCCUUUGAUACUGGAGAUCUUGAGUCCGGGAGAGGUAAGUGGAACUGCGAGUGUAGAGGUGAAAUUCGUAGAUAUUCGCAAGAACACCAGUGGCGAAGGCGGCUUACUGGUCCGGUUCUGACGCUGAGGCGCGAAAGCGUGGGGAGCAAACAGG